rnacentral:lncRNA from 1 species
GUUGUACUUCUCUAGCCUGUGAGUGACCUCUGCUGUAGUGCUGUGAAGGUUUAGACCUGCUGAUGGAGAAUACUUCCAUUCGGUCUAAGGCAUCCUCCUCUCAGUCCUUGGAGGUCACCACCAAGACUCCAGACAUUCCUUGGGGAAUUUUAUAAUGUACACAUGAUAGAUGCUAUUUCAGCAGGAAAAUAGCCCAUUAAGGUCUAAUCUCUUGGGUGACGAUCUCUAUUCCCAGCAUCUGGAAAGGGAAAUGGUACAGAAGACCUUGAGUGAGAAGCUUCCAUAAGCAGGAGUAGAAGAGAUUCACAUUAUUUGUACCUGUUUUAAGCACAGACUCAGACUCAGUCAACUCUUUUAGGUGCUGUAUGUGGUACCAAUUCCUAGAGAAGAAAGAAACAUACCAUUAAAUUGAGACACAUAUUCCCAGCUUCUACUUAUAUUCCACUGGUUGCUGUAGCAAUGACCAAAUACAAGUAUUUGACCAAGAGGAUGGGGCAUAAUUGGUGCUCAACACAUUUCACGUCUUGUGGUCUUGUGCUUUGGACCUACUGGUAUCAUCACUGAAUCAGGACCAUCACCAAAUCUGCAUGACAUUUGGUUAUAAUUACUACAGAAGACUCAAUACACAAGAAUCAGUAAACUAAUUUCAGAUUUUA